rnacentral:tRNA from 1 species
AGCGCAAUACUUUAAUGAAAAGGUUUGAUUUGCGUUCAAAGAUUGGAAUAGUUUUCCUUGUGCUG